GACGAACGCUGGCGGCGUGCUUAACACAUUCAAGUCGAACGGAAAGGCCCUGCUUUUGUGGGGUGCUCGAGUGGCGAACGGGUGAGUAACACGUGAGUAACCUGCCCUUGACUUUGGGAUAACUUCAGGAAACUGGGGCUAAUACCGGAUAGGAGCUCCUGCUGCAUGGUGGGGGUUGGAAAGUUUCGGCGGUUGGGGAUGGACUCGCGGCUUAUCAGCUUGUUGGUGGGGUAGUGGCUUACCAAGGCUUUGACGGGUAGCCGGCCUGAGAGGGUGACCGGCCACAUUGGGACUGAGAUACGGCCCAGACUCCUACGGGAGGCAGCAGUGGGGAAGAUUGCACAAUGGGCGGAAGCCGGAUGCAGCAACGCCGCGUGCGGGAUGACGGCCUUCGGGUUGUAAACCGCUUUCGCCUGUGACGAAGCGUGAGUGACGGUAAUGGGUAAAGAAGCACCGGCUAACUACGUG
rnacentral:rRNA from 1 species